CUGGUUCCUCUAGGAUUUGGACCCUACCGAAAAUCCAGGAAAGAAAUAUAAAACCACCGAUGGUCAUCAGACCUGUAAUGUGACUCUGAAACAAAACGCUGUAACAGUUUAUGUGCAAGUGGAGAAAUACACAGCUCAAAUCUGGAGAGCCAGCUCUGGAGGCCAUGCCAGAAUGAAAUAUCAAGCAGAAACUGAAUGGAGAAGAGAAAAAUGCAGCCCUGUCUGAGCAAGAGGGGAAUGCAGAUAAAUGCCACUCUCAGAGAGAAAGCAAAGGGGGAGAUAUGGACACCAUGUCUGAGACCUGGAGGAAUUGAAAUGAAGGUUAAAGAGGCUUUGAAAGAGACCAGAGCUAUCAGCCUGGGGAAAGCUUUGCUUCAGGAAAGUUAGUGGAAGCACAAAGCAUGUCAAGAAUUAAAACUAUCUCCAAAAUAAUUAUUCAGACAAUGGAUGCUAAAACCA
rnacentral:lncRNA from 10 species